rnacentral:rRNA from 1 species
AUGGCUCCUACCGAGGCUGAGGCUGAUGUAGAGGAGGGAGAAGAGAAGAAUAAGAGGGAAAGGAAAGCAGCCGGAGUUGCUUUCACGUGGAUUCAAAAUAACUUUGCGACGUGCCCUCCGGAUGCCACUAAUGAUGUGAUCCAGACACAUGCUCGUGUGUAUAUGUGGUACGUUGUGUCGAGGACUUUGUUUCCUGACUCCACUGGCAAGAACGCUCCAUGGAUGUGGCUGAAGGCAUUGACCGUCUUCGAUAGCAAAUGGAGCUGGGGUUCAGCGACUCUUGCCUACUUGUACCGACAGGUAGUUGGUCUGUUUUGUGAUCAACUCAUUUCUUCAUUAGCAAUGCAAGCUGGCUGUCAAGUUAACAUUGUUUUUCUUUCAUAUGUAGCUAGACGAUGCGUGUUGCAGGAUCACAGAUAG